rnacentral:rRNA from 1 species
AAUGAACGCUGGCGGCGUGCCUAAUACAUGCAAGUCGAGCGGACGUUUUUGAAGCUUGCUUCAAAAACGUUAGCGGCGGACGGGUGAGUAACACGUGGGCAACCCACCUUAUCGACUGGGAUAACUCCGGGAAACCGGGGCUAAUACCGGAUAACAUCUAGCACCUCCUGGUGCCGGAUUAAAAGAGGGCUUCUUGCUCUCACGAUGAGAUGGGCCCGCGGCGCAUUAGCUAGUUGGAGAGGUAACGGCUCCCCAAGGCGACGAUGCGGAGCCGACCGGAGAGGGAGGCCGGCCACACUGGGACUGAGACACGGCCCAGACUCCUACGGGAGGCAGCAGUCGGGAAUCUUCCGCAAUGGACGAAAGUCUGACGGAGCAACGCCGCGUGAGUGAUGAAGGGUUUCGGCUCGUAAAGCUCUGUUAUGAGGGAAGAACACGUACCGUUCGAAUAGGGCGGUACCUUGACGGUACCUCAUCAGAAAGCCACGGCUAACUACGUGCCAGCCGCCGCAGUAA